GCGAGAAUAGCUCAUUUGGUAGAGUACUACCUUGCCAAGGUAGUGGUAGCGGGUUCGAAUCCCGUUUCUCGCUCAA
rnacentral:tRNA from 3 species